GCUAUACAUGCAAGUCGAGCGAAUGGAUUAAGAGCUUGCUCUUAUGAAGUUAGCGGCGGACGGGUGAGUAACACGUGGGUAACCUGCCCAUAAGACUGGGAUAACUCCGGGAAACCGGGGCUAAUACCGGAUAACAUUUUGAACCGCAUGGUUCGAAAUUGAAAGGCGGCUUCGGCUGUCACUUAUGGAUGGACCCGCGUCGCAUUAGCUAGUUGGUGAGGUAACGGCUCACCAAGGCAACGAUGCGUAGCCGACCUGAGAGGGUGAUCGGCCACACUGGGACUGAGACACGGCCCAGACUCCUACGGGAGGCAGCAGUAGGGAAUCUUCCGCAAUGGACGAAAGUCUGACGGAGCAACGCCGCGUGAGUGAUGAAGGCUUUCGGGUCGUAAAACUCUGUUGUUAGGGAAGAACAAGUGCUAGUUGAAUAAGCUGGCACCUUGGCGGUACCUAACCAGAAAGCCACGGCUAACUACGUGCCAGCAGCCGCGGUAAUACGUAGGUGGCAAGCGUUAUCCGGAAUUAUUGGGCGUAAAGCGCGCGCAGGUGGUUUCUUAAGUCUGAUGUGAAAGCCCACGGCUCAACCGUGGAGGGUCAUUGGAAACUGGGAGACUUGAGUGCAGAAGAGGAAAGUGGAAUUCCAUGUGUAGCGGUGAAAUGCGUAGAGAUAUGGAGGAACACCAGUGGCGAAAGCGACUUUCUGGUCUGUAACUGACACUGAGGCG
rnacentral:rRNA from 1 species